UACGGGGGGGGCAAGCGUUGUUCGGAAUUACUGGGCGUAAAGGGCUCGUAGGUGGCCAACUAAGUCGGACGUGAAAUCCCUCGGCUUAACCGGGGAACUGCGUCCGAUACUGGUUGGCUUGAGUUUGGGAGAGGGAUGCGGAAUUCCAGGUGUAGCGGUGAAAUGCGUAGAUAUCAGGAGGAACACCGGUGGCGAAGGCGGAUCUCUGGGCCGUAACUGACGCUGAGGAGCGAAAGCAUGGGUAGCGAACAGG
rnacentral:rRNA from 1 species